rnacentral:lncRNA from 1 species
AUUAUCAACUCCACUACUGUCCCAGGGAGCCCUGCUAUCAUGUGGUUUGUCAUCGUACACUACGCAGAUGGUAAAGCAAGUUUGCUCGGAUGCUGUGGAGAUUGUUGAACCUGCAAAAGAAGGAUAUCAGCUUACCCUAAAGCUAAAUCUUGCAAAGAUUCCACGUGGAAAAGGUUUGCUACUUCUCCAAAUCAUCGCGAUAACAAUAAUUAUAUAUAAAAAAACAAGAGCUUAUUGGUACUUUGUGGCACAUACUAGUGCUGUCUUGAAUUUAAGCAUGUUAUUCCUUCUAUUCACCUAAAAAUAGAGAGUGGUUUUCAAUAUAUUAUAAAAUCAGUACGGAAUAUACAGAGAACAUAGAUUCAAACUAUCAGUCUACAAAAGAAGAAAGAAAGCUUGAACGAGAAGAAAGUUGUGUAAAUUCUUUACACAAACAAGAGAUACAAGAACUCCAUGCAGUAAACCUGAGUUCAGGUGUUACAGCAAAGACAAAUUAACAGUACAAAGAAAAGUUCAACCACCCAAACUAGACAUUUUAAACCUGACAUUUUGAAUCUUUGAUCAACUACAGUACCAGAUCACUGUAGUACUUAGUUAGCUGUCCUCUUAAAUAACAGGUUUCCUGCUUCUGCCAGUUCCACCGUCCACAAUCUCAGAUUUGAAGACAUCCAUACCAAGUUUUCUGUGACA